AUGGGGUUGACAGAUUUUAACAAGUUAUGUCUGACAUUUUAUUUUUCUUUUCAAAUUACAGCAUUACGAGCACUACUGACUCUCCACUGCAGAAUAUCCAACCAUCUAUUCAGGGCACAACCUGCAUUUUUCACUGCAGCUGAACGCCUGGUUUUGGAUUUUCUCCAAGAGGCAGUUCUUCUGUAUUUUUCUUCUCACCCCUCCCCAAGCCCCCACCCCCUCCCCAAAUUCAAAAAAAAAAAAAAAUUCAUUUUAAUACUAAGUUGAUAAUUUGUGUUCUAAUACUGCUGUUCUUUUAAAAGUUCAGUCCUUUUAAUACUAGGUUAAUAAUUUGUUUAAUCUGGUAUUGUUCUUUUCUUUGGAAAAAAAGUUUGUAAUAUUAGAUUUAUAAUUUGUUUUAUUUGUUACUGUUCUUUUUAUUGAAAAAAAAAGUUUAUUAGCUGUCUUUGUAAGUCGUUCUUUUUCUUGUCAAUUAACUAACUUGUUUUUUUCUUGAGAAUACUUUGCAGGUUGUAUCGCUUCAGCAUUUCGUGAAGUAAGUGACUGAAAAUAUCCUGCAAAAAAAAAAAAAUGCUCAUUGAAUACGGUACUUUUUGACUAGCAUUAAAACCAUUUUACAGUCAUUUUUAAUCAGAGAUGUUCAAACUCAUGAAGAAAAGGUGGCAGUUGUUUGCUAAACAUUUUAAGCCAGUUUGCUUAUUUAAGAGACGAUGUGAAAUCAUCUGCUUGUUAGAUUAUUAUGGAACAGAUGAUUAGGACGUCAAACUUGAAUCAUUUAAGUGAAAGUGAAAGUGAAAGU
ensembl:lncRNA